AGCAUUUCUGUGCUGAGCCUCGUCUACCAUCUAGUGGAUUGCCACAUCUACACCAAAGAUUCUAGAACAGAGCCCUGUUCUAGAAUCUUUGAUCUGUUUUGUAUCCGUUUAGCUAUCUGCAGACACAUCUAGGCCUACUAACAAGACAUUUCCAACAUGACCCACUACAGAGCCCGUCUACGGAGACAUUCUUUGUCCACUCAGUCAUAUUGCGAGUUCAUGAUAAUGUCCUCUAUGAAAAGAUUGUAAACGUCCAAGAACACUUUUGGAAGUGAAUGGAAGGUACAGCAGUACUGAAUGCUGCAUGUUGCAUACCAGCGUGGACCAUAUUCUCCAUUGGGGAAUGCACCUUCUCAAACAUGCACUCUGCACAGGACAUUCUGUGCAGCCAUUGGUUUUGUUGGCCAGUACAAUGGCUAACACACCAGGGACGCAGAUGGCAGGUCCGAUGGCAAUAAGUGGAACAUUACCAAGACUCUCACCCUUCAAUCCUGACACUGUAAACAUGAAGCCGAAGAAAAGAAAGAUGCUGCACAAGGCUACCACCAUACCUGUGCGUGGGUUUAUGCCUUCCACUCUAGUCAUCUGGGAAAUAUACUUAUUGACCCCCUUCUAAAAUAAAUGUUUCCAUCUGAUAUGGAUCAA